AAACUUCAGCUUAUUGACGAUCAGUUUGCAGCUGCUUAUCCUCAGCGUCCAGAAUCAGAAUCUUUAGAAAUGAAGUUAAAUGAAUACAAGAGAGAACUAGAACAGCAGCUUCGGGCAGAAAUGCGUCAAAAGUUCAAGUAUUUGAAAGAUACUGAAAUAGCCAAAAUUAAAAUGGAAGAGAAAAGAAAGUCGGAGAGGGAGUUAGCUGCGUUCCGGAACGAAUUGGAGAGAGCUCGUCAAGCAAAAUCUGAAUCCCUCCUUUCUCGGGAAAAGUUGGCUCUUGAGAGAAUUCAGAAGCACCGAGAGUUCCGAGUGUGCUCUUGGACGGGGCCGGGUACUCCGUGAGUCCUUGCCCAGCC